rnacentral:rRNA from 1 species
CUCGUAGGCGGUUCGUCGCGUCCGGUGUGAAAGUCCAUCGCCUAACGGUGGAUCUGCGCCGGGUACGGGCGGGCUGGAGUGCGGUAGGGGAGACUGGAAUUCCCGGUGUAACGGUGGAAUAUGUAGAUAUCGGGAAGAACACCAAUGGCGAAGGCAGGUCUCUGGGCCGUUACUGACGCUGAGGAGCGAAAGCGUGGGGAGCGAACA